GUAUUAUAAGAUUAUUUUUUUAUGUAAUCUCAAAAUGAGUUCAGUUCAAUUUUAAUAAAGGAUAAGAUAAUUGUUGGGGGCGGCCAAAAAAUAAAUUUUCUAACCAUGUUUAAUCCCCAACAUAACAUACGGUCAAAGCCAGCACAAUGGGAAGAAGCUUCAAUAAAUGAAGACUCACUUCAGUAAUGAUCCUUCCGCAGGUUCACCUACGGAAA
rnacentral:misc_RNA from 1 species